rnacentral:rRNA from 1 species
UUGAGCUUGAUCCCUGGCUCAGAUUGAACGCUGGCGGCAGGCCUAACACAUGCAAGUCGAGCGGCAGCACGGGUACUUGUACCUGGUGGCGAGCGGCGGACGGGUGAGUAAUGCCUAGGAAUCUGCCUGGUAGUGGGGGAUAACGCUCGGAAACGGACGCUAAUACCGCAUACGUCCUACGGGAGAAAGCAGGGGACCUUCGGGCCUUGCGCUAUCAGAUGAGCCUAGGUCGGAUUAGCUAGUUGGUGAGGUAAUGGCUCACCAAGGCGACGAUCCGUAACUGGUCUGAGAGGAUGAUCAGUCACACUGGAACUGAGACACGGUCCAGACUCCUACGGGAGGCAGCAGUGGGGAAUAUUGGACAAUGGGCGAAAGCCUGAUCCAGCCAUGCCGCGUGUGUGAAGAAGGUCUUCGGAUUGUAAAGCACUUUAAGUUGGGAGGAAGGGCAUUUACCUAAUACGUAAGUGUUUUGACGUUACCGACAGAAUAAGCACCGGCUA